CGGCGGCUCGAGUGGUGGCCACUAUUAUUGGGCUUAAAGCGUCCGUAGCUGGACUCUUAAGUCUCUUGGGAAAUCCGCCGGCUUAACCGACGGGCGUCUAAGAGAUACUGAGAGUCUAGGGACCGGGAGAGGUGAGAGGUACUCCGGGGGUAGGAGUGAAAUCCUGUAAUCCCUGGGGGACCACCGAUGGCGAAGGCAUCUCACCAGAACGGCUCCGACAGUGAGGGACGAAAGCUGGGGGAGCGAACCGGAUUAGAUAACCGAGUAGUCC
rnacentral:rRNA from 1 species